AUGGUUUGAAGGUUUAAUUCCAUGCAGAGCACGUUGCAGAAAUCAAACCUCAAGGUGACAGAUAAUCAUAGAGAGGUCCUUAUCCAAGAGAAAAGGACACAACCUUCUUGCCAGUCACAGCUAACAAAGAGCUUGGCAGAGCAGAGAUUCCAUCUUGGACUCAGUGAACACCACAAGACUAACAAGACUUUGCAGAUUUGUAGGCCUUGAUUUACCGCAGAACAAUACAGAGCCUCAGAGGAAAAGUUAUAGUUGCAUACUUCAUCAUUCUACUUAAGCUACCUCUCAAAAUCCAGCAGGUCCAAGGGAAUGGAGAGAUGUGUGGGACACACAAGUGGAUGGCAGCUCAACCCCACCUGGAACUCGGAAGUGUGCUGAAGAAGAAGAAUGUACAAGAAAUCUUCUCUGAGAUCCUUUCUGUUUCAUAAGCAAAGGAAGGCAGAAGAUUCUGGAAGUGAAUCACUGGCUAGCACUUGACACUGAAUGCAAAGCCGUAUGGACAGCUUCCUUUGCCGUGCCUUGCCUUUCCAAUUGUAACAGUCCCUCUGAG